AUGGUGACAGCUCCAGUCACUAAGUUUUAUGUCAGCGGCAGUUCUCACUACAGCGCCAGGACGAGUCAGGUUCGGGUUGGUCCGCGGAGAUCUCUCUCCUCUCGCUCGGCUGCGGGAAAUCGGGCUGAAGCCACCGAGUCCGCGUCGGAGAGAGAAAAGGAACCGUCCCAUAAGCUCUUUAUUGGUGGCUUAAGCUUUGAAACCACAGAAGGAGGUUUGAGGAACUACUACGAACAAUGGGGAAAGCUUACAGAUUGUGUGGUAAUGAGGGAUCCGGCCAAAGAUCGAGAGGAUCUGGUUCUGUGACUUUCUCCUCCACGGCUGAGGUUGAUGCUCAGGGCUGCAAGGCCUCAUUCCAUUGAUGGGAGAGUCCUUGAACCAAAACGUGCUGUAGCAGGAGAGGAAUCUGGAAAACCGGGGGCUCAUGUAACUGUGAAGAAGCUGUUUGUUGGUGGAAUUAAGAUACUGAGGAACGUCACCUUAGAGAUGACUUUGAGGAGUAUGGAAAGAUCGAUACCAUUGAAAUAAUUACUGAUAGGCAGUCUGGAAAGAAGAGAGGCUUUGGCUUGGUUACUUUGAUGACCAUGAUCCUGCGGAUAAAAUCGUGUUGCGGAAAUACCACAGCAUCAGUGGUCCUAAUGCAGAAGGAAGAAAGGCUCUGUCUAGACAAGAAAUGCAGGAACUUCAAAGUUCUAGGAGUGGAAGAGGAGGCAGCUUUGGCUUUCGGGAUUCUCGUAGCGGUGGAGGAAAUUUCGGACCAGGACCAGGAAGUAACUUUAGAGGAGGAGCUGAUGGAUAUGGCAGUGGACGUGGAUUUGGGGAUGGCUACAGUGGGUAUUGAGGAGGACCCGGAGGUGGCAAUUUUGGAGGUAGCCCUGGUUAUGGAGGAGGAAGAGGAGGAUAUGGUGGUGGGGGACCUGGAUAUGGCAACCAGGGUGGGGGCUACAGAGGUGGUUAUGACAACUAUGGAGGAGGAAAUUAUGGCAGCGGAAAUUACAAUGAUUUUGGAAAUUAUAACCAGCAACCUUCUAACUACGGUCCAAUGAAAAGUGGAAACUUUGGUGGCAGCAGGGACAUGGGGGGACCAUAUGGUGGAGGAAACUAUGGUCCAGGAGGCAGUGGAGGAAGGGGGGGUUAUGGUGGGAGGAGCCGAUAUUGAGCUUCUUCCUCUUUGCCAUGGGCUUCACUGUGUAAAAAUAGGAAAGGAUGAGAACCCAGAGGUAACAGAACAGCUUCAGGUUAUUGAAAUAACAAUGUUAAGGAAACUCUCAUCUCAGUCAUGCAUAAAUAUGCAGUGAUAUGGCAGAAGACACCAGAGCAGAUGCAGAGAGCCAUUUUGUGAAUGGAUUGGAUUAUUUGAUAACAUUACCUUACUGUGGAGGAAGCAUUGUAAAAAAAAAUGCCUUUGAGACAGUUUCUUAGCUUUUUAAUUGUUGUUUCUUUCUAGUGGUCUUUGUAAGAGUGUAGAAGCACUCCUUCUUUGAUAAUGUUAAAUUUGUAAGUUUCAGGUGACAUGUGAAACCUUUUUAAAGAUUUUUCUCAAGGUUUUGAAAAGCUAUUAGCCAGGAUCAUGGUGUAAUAAGACAUAACGUUUUUCCUUUAAAAAAAUUUAAGUGCGUGUUUAGAGUUAAGAAGCUGUUGUACAUUUAUGAUUUAAUAAAAUAAUUCUAAAGGAAAAAAAA